AGUGAACGCUGGCGGUAGGCCUAACACAUGCAAGUCGAACGGCAGCACAGUAAGAGCUUGCUCUUACGGGUGGCGAGUGGCGGACGUGUGAGGAAUACAUCGGAAUCUACUUUUUCGUGGGGGAUAACGUAGGGAAACUUACGCUAAUACCGCAUACGACCUACGGUUGAAAGCAGGGGAUCUUCGGACCUUGCGCGAUUGAAUGAGCCGAUGUCGGAUUAGCUAGUUGGCGGGGUAAAGGCCCACCAAGGCGACGAUCCGUAGCUGGUCUGAGAGGAUGAUAAGCCACACUGGAACUGAGACACGGUCCAGACUACUACGGGAGGCAGCAGUGGGGAAUAUUGGACAAUGGGCGCAAGCCUGAUCCAGCCAUACCGCGUGGGUGAAGAAGGCCUUCGGGUUGUAAAGCCCUUUUGUUGGGAAAGAAAAGCAGCAGGUUAAUACCCCGCUGUUCUGACGGUACCCAAAGAAUAAGCACCGGCUAACUUCGUG
rnacentral:rRNA from 1 species